AACGAACGCUGGCGGCAUGCCUAACACAUGCAAGUCGAACGAGACCUUCGGGUCUAGUGGCGCACGGGUGCGUAACGCGUGGGAAUCUGCCCUUGGGUUCGGAAUAACAGUUGGAAACGACUGCUAAUGCCGGAUGAUGACGUAGUCCAAAGAUUUAUCGCCCAGGGAUGAGCCCGCGUAGGAUUAGCUAGUUGGUGGGGUAAAGGCCUACCAAGGCGACGAUCCUUAGCUGGUCUGAGAGGAUGAUCAGCCACACUGGGACUGAGACACGGCCCAGACUCCUACGGGAAGCAGCAGUGGGGAAUAUUGGACAAUGGGCGAAAGCCUGAUCCAGCAAUGCCGCGUGAGUGAUGAAGGCCUUAGGGUUGUAAAGCUCUUUUACCCGGGAUGAUAAUGACAGUACCGGGAGAAUAAGCCCCGGCUAACUCCGUG
rnacentral:rRNA from 1 species